UGGGGAAUAUUGCACAAUGGCGGAAACCCUGAUGCAGCGACGCCGCGUGAACGAAGAAGGUAUUCGUAUCGUAAAGUUCUGUCCUAUGGGAAGAUAAUGACAGUACCAUAGAAGAAAGCUCCGUCCAAAUACGUGCCAGCAGCCGCGGUAAUACGUAUGGAGCGAGCGUUGUCCGGAAUUAUUGGGCGUAAAGGGUACGCAGGCGGUUUAAUAAGUCGAAUGUUAAAGAUCGGGGCUCAACCCCGCAACGCAUGCGAAACUGAUAAACUUGAGUAGUGGAGAGGAAAGUGGGAUUGCUAGUGUAGUGGUGAAAUACGUAGAUAUUAGGAGGAAUACCAGUAGCGAAGGCGACUUUCUGGACACAAACCGACGCUGAGGUACGAAAGGGUGGGGGGCAACCAGG
rnacentral:rRNA from 1 species